rnacentral:rRNA from 1 species
GAUGAACGCUGGCGGCGUGCCUAAUACAUGCAAGUCGAGCGAAUGGAUUAAGAGCUUGCUCUUAUGAAGUUAGCGGCGGACGGGUGAGUAACACGUGGGUAACCUGCCCAUAAGACUGGGAUAACUCCGGGAAACCGGGGCUAAUACCGGAUAACAUUUUGAACCGCAUGGUUCGAAAUUGAAAGGCGGCUUCGGCUGUCACUUAUGGAUGGACCCGCGUCGCAUUAGCUAGUUGGUGAGGUAACGGCUCACCAAGGCAACGAUGCGUAGCCGACCGGAGAGGGUGAUCGGCCACACUGGGACUGAGACACGGCCCAGACUCCUACGGGAGGCAGCAGGAGGGAAUCUUCCGCAAUGGACGAAUGUCUGACGGAGCAACGCCGCGUGAGUGAUGAAGGCUUUCGGGUCGUAAAACUCUGUUGUUAGGGAAGAACAAGUGCUAGUUGAAUAAGCUGGCACCUUGACGGUACCUAACCAGAAAGCCACGGCUAACUACGUGCCAGCCGCCGCCGUAA